UUUCUCAUAGUUUAUAAGUAAAAUGUUACACUGAAAAUGUAAAGAAAUAUUUUUUUGAGAAGA
rnacentral:tRNA from 1 species